AUCAAGAUGACGAGUCUCAAAUAGGACGAAACGUGCGUCUUGUAU
rfam:Schistosoma rodhaini strain Burundi genome assembly, scaffold: SROB_scaffold0015585